rnacentral:tRNA from 1 species
GGUGGCUCAAUGGUAUAGCACUUGCCUUGCAUGCAUGAGGCCCUGGGUUCGAUUCCUCAGCACCA